GAUGAACGCUGGCGGCGUGCUCAACACAUGCCAGUCGAACGGAAAGGCCCAAGCUUGCUUGGGUACUCGAGUGGCGAACGGGUGAGUAACACGUGGGUGAUCUGCCCUGCACUUCGGGAUAAGCCUGGGAAACUGGGUCUAAUACCGGAUAGGACCACAUUUUGGAUGGUGUGGUGGAAAGUUUUUCGGUGUGGGAUGAGCUCGCGGCCUAUCAGCUUGUUGGUGGGGUAAUGGCCUACCAAGGCGUCGACGGGUAGCCGGCCUGAGAGGGUGUACGGCCACAUUGGGACUGAGAUACGGCCCAGACUCCUACGGGAGGCAGCAGUGGGGAAUAUUGCACAAUGGGCGCAAGCCUGAUGCAGCGACGCCGCGUGGGGGAUGACGGCCUUCGGGUUGUAAACUCCUUUCGCUAGGGACGAAGCGUUAUGUGACGGUACCUGGAGAAGAAGCACCGGCUAACUACGUG
rnacentral:rRNA from 1 species